rnacentral:lncRNA from 1 species
GACCACCAACUUGGGUAUUGGAUCAGAUUAUCUUUCGGCUUUGAAUUUAAAUCUAUUUUAACUCCAUUUUUAGUCUCGUUUGAUUCCUCUAAGCCUGCAGAUCGGGCUCUUCAUGUUGGUGCAGCUCUUUUCUGUAAAAUAUACAAAGAAAUAUUAAUUUUAAAAGAAUAAAAAUAAUUUGAUCCAUAAAUUAAUACUUUUAUGGACAAAUUUAUACACCUAUCACACCCC